rnacentral:rRNA from 1 species
AGAGUUUGAUCCUGGCUCAGAGUGAACGCUAGCGGUGUGCUUAACACAUGCAAGUCGAGCGAGGGCAGGUCUUCGGAUCUGACCCGAGCGGCGCACGGGUGCGUAACACGUGGGUAAUCUACCUUAAAGUGGGGGAUAACUCGCCGAAAGGCGGACUAAUACCGCAUGACAUCCCUUUAACGACGGUUAAGGGGAUCAAAGACAGGGAUCCGCAAGGACCUGUCCCUUUAAGAUGAGCCCGCGGCCCAUCAGCUUGUUGGCGGGGUAAUGGCCCACCAAGGCAACGACGGGUAGCCGGCCUGAGAGGGUGAUCGGCCACACUGGAACUGAGACACGGUCCAGACUCCUACGGGAGGCAGCAGUGGGGAAUAUUGCGCAAUGGGGGAAGCCCCGACGCAGCAACACCGCGUGGAGGAAGAAGGCCUUCGGGUUGUAAACUCCUGUCAGUUGGGAAAAAGAUUCUGGCGGUGAACAAUCGCCAGAGUUUGAUUGUACCAGCAGAGGAAGCCCCGGCUAACUACGUGCCAGCAGCCGCGGUAAAACGUAGGGGGCCAGCGUUACUCGGAAUUACUGGGCGUAAAGGGCGCGUAGGCGGCAUGGCAAGUCUCUGGUGAAAUCCCUUGGCUUAACCAAGGAAGCGCCGGAGAUACUGCUUUGCUUGAGUCCGGUAGAGGGAAGUGGAACUCCCGGUGUAGCGGUGAAAUGCGUAGAUAUCGGGAGGAACACUCAUGGCGAAGGCAGCUUUCUGGACCGGCACUGACGCUGAGGCGCGAAAGCGUGGGUAGCAAACAGGAUUAGAU